rnacentral:lncRNA from 1 species
UAAGAAUGGUGAUGAGGAUGACAGAGGAAUAGAAGCAAUAGAUAUGUGUGUGGCUGUGAUCUUCAAGACCUCAGCUAAAUAGGAAGUCAGGUCUAUCAACCAUGAUGUUAUCUGAGGUUCUCUUUGAAGUCUAGAUGCACCUGAUACGGUAGGACUACAUGAAUCUAAAUCAACGGUCAUAACAUUUUAUUCUAAAAAAUUUUUUGCCAGUGUUCUGUUGGAAUUUUUUUUCUUUUCUUUUCUUUUCUUUUGUACCAAGCAUCAAACUCAGGACCUUGCACUUGCCAGGCAGGCGCAGGUGCCACUGAGCUAAAUCCUCAGCUCCUAAUUUUUAUCUUUUUAUUUUUUAGGUUCUCAGGAAGGUGAAGGUAAAAUUUUCAGUUCUUUCUGGACAUAUACCUAAAAUUCCUUAUUAUUCAUCAACUGAUGAAAAUUUGAGAGAGUCUAAAGAGUAAAAAGUAGUUUCAGAAAUGUACUGACUGUAGAAUUUAACUUUCUAAGGCUUUUCAGGUGUUGAAAUACUGGUAAAGUAUUAAAAAGCCACUUCUCUGAAGCUUUUAAAAUAACAAAGAUUUAGGAAACUGCAAGAUUACAAAUAAUGAAUUUAUACCACUACUAUUAUAUCUUUUACUUUUGGCUUUAAAUAUGGUAUCACAUUGUGGUGCAGUCAAAGGUUUAUUUCCUCUCCUGUGCUCUGAAUUUCCCACCACAGUGCAGUCUAAGAAAUGAAUGUAGCCGCAGCCUCCACCGAUGCUGUAUUCAUGGUUGCCCCGCUCCCCUCCUACUCCAUACCCUGGGAAAAAACGGCAACCUCCAUGGGAAUGAGCGCAUUUUCAGGAAAAGGGGGGUAUUUUCUUAAAGAAUGUGAAACAAACUCAUCCUUUUAUUAAAUCAAAAUGGAUUCGCUAAUGUUUAUACACAUCAAAUGGAGUUUUAUCUCUUUCCUCUUGUUCAAAGGCCCAGACAGUGCCAUUCCCUAGGGCUUGGUUCAUUUGCUCCUAAAGCAGAAGAGACAGUCCACUUUGUUCUGAAGAUUGUUAAUUUUAGGAUAUCAAGGGUCAAAGUCAUUUCAGGCUAAUUCCUAAAGUUAUACUAUAAAAUACAGGAAUGAUUCUAAGUUGUACAAAGUAUGAAAUACUGUAAUAUUUUAACUUUGACCAAAACCUUUACCUUCCUGGGUGUGUCUUUUUUGCCUAUUCAGAUUCAUAUUAAAUGCAACAUUUUUGCUGUUUAAAUUUUAAAAGUUAUGUUUAAAAAUUAACCUUAUAAUUGAACAUUUUUACUAAUACAGGAAAAAGACAGGAUUACUUUUUAAUGAAGGCCAGGUUUGUGGUAACAUUUUUAUUCUUUUAAAAAAAUUUUUCUUUUGAUCUUAAAAAAUAAAAGAACACAUUUAAAAUGCCUUUAGUUCUUACGUUAAUACCAAAUUAUGUAUUUUUUUAGUCUGUUUCAGAAGGAGAUACCGCCUUCUCAGUUAAAAGAUGCUGACACUAUUUUCAAAACAAUGCCUUGAAUCUGCUGUGGUGUGGGCAGUCAUUGACGAUUGUAUGAAGACUUCCUACAGUUCGGAAAUCUCUUAGAAUGGGAUCUUAGAGAAAAGCCUGCCAACUAGAGGAUUUGUUAAACCAUGGACUUUCAAGUCACCAGAAGGACAAUGAAAGAAAAACUUUUAAAUAGAGAUUGAAGAGAGGAAAAUACAGAAAAAUAAGAGGUGGGAUGCACAGAAAAAAAGAGGAAAGCAAAGGAAUAAACUACAAGCAAUUACACUCUACCAGGUACAGCAUUCACACCCCAAGCCUGACACUAGACUCUGCUGCUCCCUCUGGAAAUUGAUGUGGGCUUCAGUGCUGCUGCUGCCACAGCCAAAAUUGAGUCCCUGCAGUCUUGGCUUGUCCUGUGUCAUGCCAAGAGUCAACAGCAUCUGAAUGGUUGCACCUAGAUCACGUCUGAGCCCUAGCUGCAAGGGAGGCUGGGAAAGUGAGCAUCUGACGCCUAUGGAAUUGUUGGUCUCUGCCUCCUGUCAGUACUCAGGAGGUAGAGAAAUCCACAGCCAAGAGAUCACUUUAGAUGCUGGGUGAUGUCAAGGGUAACAGAAGGUGCAAAAAGGAUGACAAGUCCCCACUAGAACUUUCUUUCAAUACUCCUAAGCCCUAAUUAAGAGCUCCACUCAACAUGUAUCUAGGACAUGGCUGGAAAAAGCCUUGUGCUCAACUUUGAGAAGAAUUAAAUUAAAGGAAUGAUUACUAAGGGUGGGCAAGGUCUAGAGAACCACAAGAGACAGUGCAGCACUCCAGAACUGGCAACAGUAGGGAGCUUUCAACAUCCUGGGCCUGAAGAGGCAAGGGGAGGAAGCAUUUCCCAGAGCCAGAGGCAGGACUGCCUAACUGUGUGGAGAGAAUCAUUUAAAAUAAACGACCCAGCCCUGGGCACCUCCUCACCAAGAGGACAAGAGGAGCAAAUGCCACUCCUUCCUUUCCUGUGGUUCCCUGUUGAAGCUCCCCACCAGCCUGGCCAGAGACCAGAGGGCCAGGGAGCACAUGCAGGUAUGAGCUGCAGAAGAAGACUGGAGAGCAAAUGUGGAGAAAUAAACAGAAGAGGUUCUGCACUUACGGCUUCAUCGAUAUGUCACUGGCAUUUUUUCUUUUUUAAAUUCAGUAUCUCCUUUGGGGAUGUCCCUUUACAUUUUCAGUAGCUCAGCCCACAAGAUCAAUGGACUUAAAAUGUUCUUCUCAUCCUGAAUUUAACGAGAUGCUAUUUCCCCCUUGUUUGCUAUUUAGAAUGUUCUAUUGUAUGGUUCAACAAUCUGCACCAUUAAAGGUUAGCAAAUCCCAACCAGGACAUUUUUUUUCCCUUUCUGGGCUUGGGGAAAAAGGAGAAGAGGUGUGACCUGCACAGACAGCAUCAAAAAUCUCCUUUUCUGAAUCUUCCUGCAGAAAUCCUCUCUAUGUAUUGUCUCAGCACAGGAGAUUUCCUGUUGUUCAUCCCUGCCUCCUCCUCAUUAAUAUCCAGCCUUUUAAAUAAAGCAUGUACAAGAAUAGUCAAUAAAAUAAACCCCACAUGAUUACCAACAGUUGCAGGCCCAUGAGUUCCCCAAGGAUUCACCCACUGUAACCCCUCAUCCUUUGAAAGUACAUGAUAACUUGUGUUAGAGUAAUCAGUUAUUGGGCCAGGGAUUUAGCUCAGUGGUUCCAGUGCCUGCCUCCCAAGCACAAGCUCCUGAGUUUGAUCCCUGGUACCAAAAAAAAAAAAGUCACCAGUUAUUUAGUUUGGGAAAGAAUACCAAGGGGAAACCUUCAUCAUCAUCUUCAAGUAUAUGAUGUGUUCCUUCCCAGAGUAUGGAAAGCAAGUGUUUUCCCUGUCCUCAAUCAAGGGAGUGAGUACAGCACGAGGAAUAAAAUAGAAAUAAAAUAAUAAAAUGGUUGCACUUUGAAACUACAAUGUUAAGUGAAAUAAAUCAGACACACAAACUUGAAUAUUGCAUAGUUUCUUUUAUGUGAGAAAUUCAAAAUUUAAAUAAAGAACAAAAUAACAGAUAAUAGGAAGAUAGAUCAUUCUCAAAUGGGAAGGGGAUUAAGAGAGAAGGAGAAGGAGGGGAGGAUGCUGAAAAAAUUAAGAUGUUUUAUGUAUGUGUACCAACUCCACACAAAAAUGUAAACAUUAUGUAUUACAAACAUACUAAUAAAAACUGAUGAAGAAAACAAGCCUACAGCUGGGCAAAAUCAUUAACCACAAAGCCUAUUUUGCAAUAAAAUGUUGAAUAUUUGCCAAAAAAUAACAUUAAUAAAAGUCUUACUUUAAAAUGCAAAUGAAACCAAAUGUGGCAGCACACACCUGUAGUCCCAGCCCUCUGAGCAACUGCAGCAGGAGGAUCACAAGUUUGAGUCCUGCCUGGGCAACUUAACAAGAGCCUGUCUCAAAACACAAAAUAAAAAAAGCUGAAGAUGUAGAAUAGUGCAAAGGCCCUAGGUUCAAACCCUAGUACUACCACUAAAAAAAAUUGCAAAUGACAGAGAAAUACACACAGCAAAGUUGACUUCUAUGCUCUGGAAGUUUGAGCUAAUUAUUUCUAAAAUUAUUCAGGUGCUUUCACAUUUACUACCUAAAUUUUCUUUUGUUGUUGCGAUUUUUGCCAUGGCAUUCACUAAAAUUUGUUUCUUUAAAUAUUUUUUCUUAGGCUUCAUGUUGCAUAUAAAUGUAAAUUUUUGUCAUGUAGAUUGUCUCGUUUAACUUCCCUCAAAUAUCCAGCUGGCAGCUGAAUACCUCAAUUUGGAUUUCCCACCAACAUGUGCCACACUUACAUGUGCAGUUCAGAACCAGCAUGUGCAAUGCCGUGGUACCUUGGUUCACAAACUUAAUGUGUUUUAUGAUUUGGGGGAAGAUGGCUGCGUUUGUGUUUGUGUGGGGAACAUGACCAUGGUUGUGUUACCCAAUGUGGAGUUUGUGAACAGAAGCAAAGUCUUAUGUUACCACUUGUACAAUUCCUCUAUGGUUGGCUAUCACCCUUGGGUUACUGAAAAGCAUGGCAUGGCAUUCAAAUCUUUGUCCCUCAUUGUUCGUCUUGCUCCCCAGCCCAUAUCUCAUUGCUUCAUGGACUCUGAUCACUCUGAGCCACUUGAUAUUCCAUACCACUCAUGGGGAGCCCACACAUAGACACCAACAUGCUUUUGCACACACUUUUCCCUCAGCCUGAGUUGUUCUCCAUCCCAUCUGGCCUGGAGACCUUCUCUUCACCCUUCUAGUCCAAACACAGUCACUCAUUGUGUACUUGCAUUGUUUCUUGUGCAAAUAAUAGGGCAGAACAUCUGGCCAAAGGCUCCUGAUGGUCCAGCUGAGAAGUAGUGCAGAAGACUAGAUGAUGGCCAGGGAAAUGGAGUGGGCAGAGUCUAGGGUGGUGAUGGCAAACCUUUUAGAGCUUUCAAUGAUAACAAACAGCUGGCUGCAGCAUGCAUGUCAUAGAUUCUCCUCCACUAGUCUAGGGCAUACUCUUUGUGUAGAGUUUUCUAGACCUUCUGAUGGGUUGGCUGUGGGGACAAGAGGAGAGAAGAAAUCCAAAUCAGAGCAGGCAGCUCCAUCAGCAGGAACAAAUUACAGGGAAAACUACACCCUGGGACCCAACUUCAGUAAUUAUCACCUCUGUGUCAGUCUUGUUCCUUUACACCCCAACCUCCUUCCUCCUGCUGCCCAGCCCCACCCACACAAUGGCUUAUUUUGAAGCAAGUGCCAGACAUUUUAUAAUUUCACCUGUAAAUAUUAUGUCUGUAUUUCUAAAAUAAAAGAACUCUUUUUAAAAAAACAUAAUACCAUUAUCAUUUCUAAAAAAAAUUACUGAAGAAUGUAAACAAACAAAACUAAUACUAGUACUUUAUAUCAUUGGGUAUACGGGUAUACAGUACAUUUAGCAAUUACGUUUUCCCAAUGUGUUAUUUGUUGUUGGUUGUUUGUUUGAAAUGGAAUCUAAAUUGGCCUAUAGACAGUAUUGAUUUGUUGCUGUGUUUCCUAACUCCCUUUUAAUCUCUUCCCCCCUUACCUUUGUCUCUUCCAGUUUGGUUGUUGUCAUUAGUAAUGUUGCUGUCACUGAAGAAACUGGAUGUUCGUUCUGUACAAUGUUAGAAUUUCCUGAUUGCAUCACUGUGGUGUUGUUUAACUUGUUCUUGUGUCUCCUCUAUUUCCUGAGAAUUUAUUUUAUCAGAAACGGGAGUUUUGUUGCUGUUGUUGCCUUGGGGAAGGUCAGCAUGACCAUUUCAUAGAUGGUGUUUUAUAUGUUCAUCAAGAAGCUUAUCAUGUCUUAUUAUCUAUUUUUGUGAUGUUAGCAACCAUCAAUGUUUAUUACCUAUAUCUAUUCAUUUAUUAGACCUGUCAAAGUGGCAGUAUUCUGAUUGUAUCUUUUUUUUCUUCAUUUUCUGAGUGAGAUGUUCUGGAAAGAGGACAGUUCAUACAGAAAAAAUAGUAGAAGCUAUGUGUUUUAUAUUCCCCUUCAUAUACCAAUUUUCUAAAUAAUGAGUUGUUCCCAGGGGCCAGGGAUGUAGCUCAGUGGCAUUGUGCUUGCCUCGAAAGCCCAAGGUCCUGAGUUUGAUCCCUGGUACUGGAAAAAAAAAAAGAGUUAUUCCCUGUCAUCUUCCAAAGGUCAUGAAUGAAUGAAUGAAUUUACUUUUAUUUUAUCAUUAAUAUUAUUAAGGGAUUACUUGCUAAAUAUGUUUAUAUGUAGAUUGCAGUUAUAUUUAUUGAUAUCUAAAUUAUUCUGUCUUUGGUCAAUGGAAGCCAAAUCAAGUCAGCUCUAAACUACUUCUGAUAUGACCCUAAUUUCUUUUACAAGCUUCCUCCUUUCUGGUAUGUUUCAAGUUCAUCUUGUGUAUUUCCUGCUGCAGACCUGGAAUCAGCCAUUUCUCUUAGAAUUUCCAGGUUCCUUUCAAUGGGAAAUAUUGUUUAGAGACCACAAUCUGGGCAGUAAGUACACUCAUCGCUUCUCAGCUAGUUACUAUUUACAGUGGGCAAAGACAGAAUAUGUGUGUGUGUGAUUUUUUAAAGAAAUUGCAUGUCCAAUUCAAAUUCAGGAUAACCAUGGAUAUCCAUAAAGUGUCUUCUUUCUCCUGUGACGAAAAUCUCAAUUCUAAACAAUCCCAAUGUAAUUUCCAGUUUUCUCUAUUUCAUACUACACAAAAUCAACUUCAAAAUAAUUAGACAAAAACUAAAUUAACAAUAAACUAACUAUAACAGUUCAGUUUUUUUUCUUUGUCUUUCAGGUACAUCCCACUGCGGAUUAUUGUCAAAUUAAUGUAUUAUAGGAUCACUGAGAAUAGUUCCUCUGUGUGUGGCUACACCACCAACUGGUUACAUAGUUAAUUUCACUUACUUUGCUUUACAUUUUUAAUAGUUCCUUCUUAUAACUAUGAAAAUAUUUACCUGGUUGCAAAGUCAAAUAAAUCUACAAACAAGGUACAUUAAAAGCCUCAUUCUCUUUCUCUACAAUAUUAAAACAUGAUUUAUCCUCUUUCUUUUUAUAUGAGAAAAUAUCUCUACAUGCUUGUAUUCCUCUCCUCUUAGAGAAAUGACAGCAUACUAUAAACACUUCCUCCUCCUGUUUUCACUUAAUAGUACUUCUUAGUGGUAAAUACCAGUCUUUGAUUUGGGCUCUGGUUCACGGUACUUAAAUUUUCAGCAGAUAGCUGCAGGUUCUCACUCCUCUCUCACUCACGUGCCACAUGCGAACUGUCAUGGUUUAACUUCAGAAUCCAAGGCCUGACCCCUCUCACCACUCUCCUCUACCCUGCCAGAGCUGUCAGCUCUUACUGGAACCAUUGCAGUAGCUCCUCAUCACUGCUCUCCUUCAUCUACCCUCAGUGCCCUCAGGUCUGUUCUCAGCGAGUCAAAAGAGCCAAAGUCUUACUCACCUUUGGGAGCUCGCACCUCAUCCUUUUCUCUCCCCACUCCACUCUGGCCACACUUGCAAUGGCUAGUGGGCUCAUCCUCCUUGUAUCUGCAAUGCUCACUCUCUCGCCCCCUUCAAAUUGUUCUUCAAAGUAGCACCUUCACGGUGAACUUUACUCUUCCCCCUUCUAAAAUUGCAGCCUGACCCAUCCCCACCUCAGCUUUCCUUUGGCCUCCUCUAUUUUCCCAUACUACUUAUUACCUUCUGUCAUGCUGAAGAAUGGUUAUUGUCCAUUCAUUUAUUGUUCUCCACUGGAAUGUACAUUCUACAGGGUAUGGAUCUUUAUCUGUUUUGCUCACUAAUAGAUCCCCACUGCCUAGAAAAGUGCCUGGCACAUAAUAGGCACUUAGUAAAUAUUGUUGAAUGAAUGAAUAAAAACUUUCUUAACUUCAACUGAUAAAGUUACCAAACUGUGGCCUAGUGUUACAGGAAUAUUCAGAACCACAAUGACCAUCUGACCCAUAGGAGAACAAGGACCCUUUUCCAGUGACCAGAACAUUACUUCUUCCUCUGCCAUAUCCUGAGGCUCUGCAUAUGAGAGUUGAUGAGGGUCAUGUGAUACUUUUCUACUAUCACACAGCUGAAAGAUAAUAACAACUUACUAUUUAUAUGGUUUAUUAUGUUAAUGUAAGUUUUACAUAUACUAAUUAAGUCAUUUGAUCAAUAAAACAAUCCAGCAAAGACCGUUUUAUGAUUUUGCUCAUUUUAGAAAUGAAGCCACUGAAGCACAAAUAGAUUUUUUUUUAAUUGCUUAUAACUAAUAAUUUAUUUAUGGUAGAAUUAGGACCAGAAUCUCCAGGGAGUUUGGCUCUAGAACUCAUGCUUUCAAUUAGUACUAUCCAACAGGUUUUGGGCAAUGAUAGCAAUGUUCCCUAUCUGUACUGUUCAGUAUGGUGGCGCUAAAGCAGUGAUGGUGAACCUUUUAGAGACCAAGAGCCCAAACUGCAACCCAAAGUCCAUUUAUUUUUUGUAAAGUGCCAACACUGCAAUUAAACAUGAAUACUGAGAGUUUAGUUUAGAAAAAAAAACACCUCAUACCCUUGGCUUGCAUUCCAACAGAGAGGGCUCUGUGUGUCCACUGCGGCACAUGUGCCAUAGGUUCACCACCACUGGCCUAGAGUCACAAGUGGCUGUUGAACAACUGUAAUGUGACUAAUUCAAGUGGAACUCAAUUUCUAAUUGUACUUAGUUUUAAUUUCAGUUUAAAUAAGAAUAUGUCAUUACUGUGUGGAAAGCUCAACUUUAAGCCAAUAUAGUCUUGUGCUUUUUAGGUAUGAUUGACAGAAUAUCAAAGAAGUUGUAUAAGGGUUUGUUGCAGUUGUUCUUCAAAUCCAAGGGUACAUCUUUGUGGGAUUCUAAGAAAUGGCUAGAGCCAAUGAACUUUAAGUCUCCCAGUGUCAUCUAUAACUUAUGGAACAUAUGGCUCUCUAAUUUCCAAGCAUUCUUAGAACAAAAAGAAAAACCAUAAAGAGUAUGUUGUCCAGAUACAUUAUGUUCCUUUUUGUUGAAAGAAAUAGAGGAUUAAAUUGUUCUGACUCUAAUUUGUCCUUAUUUAAGUGCAUACUUGUGAAGAUAAAAAUAAAGUUAAUCAUAAGAGGUAGAACAUGACAUUGCAGGUUCAAUUGAAAAUUGCAAGUUAUAUUUCUAUUGAUGUUUAAAUUAUAUUUUUUAUUUUUGAAAAAUAUAUAAACUAAUUUUUAAAAAAAGAUGGGAAAAGACUAGACAAAUUUUACCAUCUGGAAU